AGUGUUGUGACAACAGUCGAACAAGAUGAAAGGUUUUGUGCUAUUCCUGGUUGUCGUGGUUCUAGCGUACACAUGCGCUGCCCCACAAACCAACCAUGCUCCCAUAUCAGCUUCGGGAGGCUCAUCAGCUUCUGGAGUGGUUUCCGGCUCACAUUUCGGUAGUGGAGCAUUCAGUGCAGGCGGGGGUAGUCAGAGCUGCGGAUUGAUAAAAAGUGUUAUUUCCAUAUUGUGGAAUGUGUGUUAAUGAGGAGUUUGUUCUGCAAUGGCCGAAGAAAAACAGCACUACAGAAUGAAAAUAUAUCUCUAUAUAUAUUAUCAAUAUUUUUUUGUGUACUAUUAAAUCUUAUGAACUGUAUAA